UUGGUGUAUUUGUGAACCUCUUAAUGCUU
rnacentral:piRNA from 1 species